AUUGAACGCUGGCGGCGUGGAUAAGACAUGCAAGUCGAGCGGAAAGGCCCUUCGGGGUACUCGAGCGGCGAACGGGUGAGUAACACGUGAGUAACCUGCCUUCAGCUUUGGGAUAACCCUCGGAAACGGGGGCUAAUACCGGAUAUGACUUCUGCCCGCAUGGGUGGUGGUGGAAAGUUUUUCGGUUCGUGGAGUGGGCGUCGCGGCCUAUCAGCUUGUUGGUGGGGUGAUGGCCUACCAAGGCGACGACGGGUAGCCGGCCUGAGAGGCGACCGGCCACACUGGGACUGAGACACGGCCCAGACUCCUACGGGAGGCAGCAGUGGGGAAGUAUUGCACAAUGGGCGGAAGCCUGAUGCAGCGACGCCGCGUGAGGGAUGACGGCCUCGGUUGUAAC
rnacentral:rRNA from 1 species